CUAGGGAUAGCAAUCCAGUAGUUAAUAUUAGGCUCUUUCCACCGAGGGAUCGGGUUAAUGGUAGGCUAAGAAAGUUGCAUGACAAUUAAUUAAUCAAACUAAUAAGUCAAGAGGAGUACAUAAGAGAGGGCGAAUUAGAUGAAAUUGUAAACCCCUGAUGGGUGUCGUCGCCCAAUCAAAUUUGAUUGCAUAAUAAGAAAUGCAGUAUAGCUAGGGAGUGACCCCUAGGUCGUCUCUCAAGGACCA
rnacentral:lncRNA from 1 species